UACAGAGGGGGCAAGCGUUGUUCGGAAUUACUGGGCGUAAAGCGUGCGCAGGCGGUCUUUUAAGUCAGAUGUGAAAUCCCCGGGCUUAACCUGGGAACUGCAUUUGUGACUGCAUAGCUAAAGUACGGUAGAGGGGAUGGAAUUCCGCGUGUAGCAGUGAAAUGCGUAGAUAUGCGGAGGAACACCGAUGGCGAAGGCAAUCCCCUGGACCUGUACUGACGCUCAUGCACGAAAGCGUGGGGAGCGAACAGG
rnacentral:rRNA from 1 species